GAUGAACGCUGGCGGCGUGCCUAAUACAUGCAAGUCGAGCGAACGGACGAGAAGCUUGCUUCUCUGAUGUUAGCGGCGGACGGGUGAGUAACACGUGGAUAACCUACCUAUAAGACUGGGAUAACUUCGGGAAACCGUAGCUAAUACCGGAUAAUAUUUUGAACCGCAUGGUUCAAAAGUGAAAGACGGUCUUGCUGUCACUUAUAGAUGGAUCCGCGCUGCAUUAGCUAGUUGGUAAGGUAACGGCUUACCAAGGCAACGAUGCAUAGCCGACCUGAGAGGGGGAUCGCCCACAUGGGAACGGGGCCCGGCUCAAGACUCCUACGGGAGGCACCAGAAGGGAACCUUCGGCAAUGGGGGAAAGCCUGACGGAGCAACGCAGCGUGGGUGAUAAAGGUCUUGGGAUCGUAAAACUCGGUUAUUGGGGAAAAACAUAUGUGUAAGUAAAAGUGCACAUCGUGACGGUACCUAAUCAGAAAGCCACGGCUAACUACGUG
rnacentral:rRNA from 1 species